CAAAUGACUGUGAUUUGUGAAUGAAAAGCCCUAUGGAUAAAAGCCAAAAAAAGGAGAACAGAUCUAAAAUUAAAAUAUGAAAGAGUAUGCAGUGAAUAUUGUAUAAGUGGAAAGCCAGCCACUUUAGAGGAUAUAAAUAAUGAAGAUUAGAAGAUUGGAUUCCAAACCAAAACAUAGUGUACCAAAGGCAGGCAAUAAAAAGAAAUGGUGAUCUAGAACGCAAGGAAAUAGCUGAUAAAAGAAAUAAAAGUGAAGAAAAUAAUGUUGAGACUUCUCUCGACCAUGAACAAACACCACUAACACCAGAUAUUGUAAAUGUAUAAAAAGGAGAAACUGCUGGAACUUAACACAAAGAGGUUUGACUAGUGAAGAUUUGGAUAAACAAAAGGAAUUACUUUGGGCUAUAGCUACAUGCAGGUUUAUUUCCUUGUGGCUUCCUAUGUAUAUUCUUAUGAACUAUAC